CAGAGAGCAGCUAGGCGCUGACGCACGGGAGGCGCGUGAUUGACGCAGGCGAGGUUUCUAAAUUUAGCUGUUGGCCCGGGCCCUGCCGCUGCCGCGCGCCGGAGAUAGCGGAAAGGGACCUCUGAGAAUGCAGGGAAAUCACGAAAAGUGGUGUAGAAAACCGACUCAGAAUGAUUAAGUGACUUCCCGAAGGUCGGUCACAGCUGCAAAACAAGAAUUCAAACCCAGGUCUUCUGACUUCAUGUCUGGUGUUGUUUACACUAUAGGUUUUUAACUUCUUUUUAAUACAAUGUAAUCCUUCUAGAUGACAGGAUAUUGAUACACUCCUGCUAGUGUUGAGAGUUCAGGGUAGCCUG